UACGUAGGGUGCGAGCGUUAAUCGGAAUUACUGGGCGUAAAGCGUGCGCAGGCGGUUUUGUAAGUCAGAUGGGAAAUCCCCGGGCUCAACCUGGGAACUGCGUUUGAAACUACAAGGCUAGAGUGUAGCAGAGGGGGGUGGAAUUCCACGUGUAGCAGUGAAAUGCGUAGAGAUGUGGAGGAACACCGAUGGCGAAGGCAGCCCCCUGGGUUAACACUGACGCUCAGGCACGAAAGCGUGGGGAGCAAACAGG
rnacentral:rRNA from 1 species